AAAAUAACAAUGAUUUCCCUAGUAACGGCGAGUGAAGAGGAAAGAGCUCAAAGUUGGAACCUGUUUGGCCUAGCUAAACCGGAUUGUAGACUGUAGAAGUGUUUUCCAGGCAAGCCGAGUAAAUAAGUCCUUUGGAACAGGGCAUCAUAGAGGGUGAGAAUCCCGUCUUUGGCUUGAGCAUUUGCCUUUUGUGAUACGCUUUCAAAGAGUCAGGUUGUUUGGGAAUGCAGCCUAAAUUGGGUGGUAAAUCUCACCUAAAGCUAAAUAUUGGCGAGAAACCGAUAGCGAACAAGUACCGUGAGGGAAAGAUGAAAAGAACUUUGAAAAGAGAGUUAAACAGUAUGUGAAAUUGUUAAAAGGGAACCGUUUGGAGCCAGACUGGCUUGUCUGUAAUCAAUCUAGGCUUCGGCCUGGAUGCACUUGCAGGCUAUGCCUGCCAACGACAAUUUGACUUGAGGGAAAAAACUAAGGGAAAUGUGGCCCACUUGUGGGUGUUAUAGUCCCUUAGAAAAUACCUUGGGUUGGAUUGAGGAACGCAGCGAAUGCUUUUUGGCGAGUUUUCCAGGAAGGUUUUCUGAGGUACUACGGUAUCAAGGUUGAUCUUUUUGGUUAUACUUCUAUUCGCUUAGGUUGUUGGCUUAAUGACUCUAAAUGAC
rnacentral:rRNA from 3 species